rnacentral:rRNA from 1 species
AGAGUUUGAUCCUGGCUCAGGACGAACGCUGGCGGCGUGCUUAACACAUGCAAGUCGAACGAGAAUCUGUGGAAAGAGGAUUCGUCCAAUUGAAGCAGAGGACAGUGGCGGACGGGUGAGUAACGCGUGAGGAACCUGCCUUUCAGAGGGGGACAACAGUUGGAAACGACUGCUAAUACCGCAUAACACAUAGGUGUCGCAUGGCACUUAUGUCAAAGAUUUAUCGCUGAAAGAUGGCCUCGCGUCUGAUUAGCUAGUUGGUGAGGUAACGGCCCACCAAGGCGACGAUCAGUAGCCGGACUGAGAGGUUGAACGGCCACAUUGGGACUGAGAUACGGCCCAGACUCCUACGGGAGGCAGCAGUGGGGAAUAUUGGGCAAUGGGCGCAAGCCUGACCCAGCAACGCCGCGUGAAGGAAGAAGGCUUUCGGGUUGUAAACUUCUUUUGUCAGGGACGAGUAGAAGACGGUACCUGACGAAUAAGCCACGGCUAACUACGUGCCAGCAGCCGCGGUAAUACGUAGGUGGCAAGCGUUGUCCGGAUUUACUGGGUGUAAAGGGCGUGUAGCCGGGAGGGCAAGUCAGAUGUGAAAUCCACGGGCUCAACUCGUGAACUGCAUUUGAAACUACUCUUCUUGAGUAUCGGAGAGGCAAUCGGAAUUCCUAGUGUAGCGGUGAAAUGCGUAGAUAUUAGGAGGAACACCAGUGGCGAAGGCGGCUUACUGGACGGUAACUGACGUUGAGGCUCGAAAGCGUGGGGAGCAAACAGGAUUAGAUACCCUGGUAGUCCACGCCGUAAACGAUGUCGAUUUGGAGGUUGUGCCCUUGAGGCGUGGCUUCCGGAGCUAACGCGUUAAAUCGACCGCCUGGGGAGUACGGCCGCAAGGUUAAAACUCAAAUGAAUUGACGGGGGCCCGCACAAGCGGUGGAGCAUGUGGUUUAAUUCGAUGCAACGCGAAGAACCUUACCUGGUCUUGACAUCCACAGAACUUUCCAGAGAUGGAUUGGUGCCUUCGGGAACUGUGAGACAGGUGCUGCAUGGCUGUCGUCAGCUCGUGUUGUGAAAUGUUGGGUUAAGUCCCGCAACGAGCGCAACCCUUAUCCUUUGUUGCCAGCGGUUAGGCCGGGAACUCAAAGGAGACUGCCAGUGAUAAACUGGAGGAAGGUGGGGAUGACGUCAAGUCAUCAUGGCCCUUACGACCAGGGCUACACACGUGCUACAAUGGCAUAUACAAAGAGAAGCGACCUCGCGAGAGCAAGCGGACCUCAUAAAGUAUGUCGUAGUCCGGAUUGGAGUCUGCAACUCGACUCCAUGAAGUCGGAAUCGCUAGUAAUCGUAGAUCAGAAUGCUACGGUGAAUACGUUCCCGGGCCUUGUACACACCGCCCGUCACACCAUGGGAGUGGGUUGCAAAAGAAGUAGGUAGCUUAACCUUCGGGAGGGCGCUUACCACUUUGUGAUUCAUGACUGGGGUGAAGUCGUAACAAGGUAACCGUAGGGGAACCUGCGGUUG